rnacentral:rRNA from 1 species
UGCUUACACAUGCAAGUCGAACGGCAGCACGGGGGCAAUCCCUGGUGGCGAGUGGCGAACGGGUGAGUAAUACAUCGGAACGUGUCCUGUAGUGGGGGAUAGCCCGGCGAAAGCCGGAUUAAUACCGCAUACGCUCUACGGAGGAAAGGGGGGGAUCUUAGGACCUCCCGCUACAGGGGCGGCCGAUGGCAGAUUAGCUAGUUGGUGGGGUAAAGGCCUACCAAGGCGACGAUCUGUAGCUGGUCUGAGAGGACGACCAGCCACACUGGGACUGAGACACGGCCCAGACUCCUACGGGAGGCAGCAGUGGGGAAUUUUGGACAAUGGGGGAAACCCUGAUCCAGCAAUGCCGCGUGUGUGAAGAAGGCCUUCGGGUUGUAAAGCACUUUUGUCCGGAAAGAAAACCUCUGGGUUAAUACCCCGGGGGGAUGACGGUACCGGAAGAAUAAGCACCGGCUAACUACGUGCCAGCAGCCGCGGUAAUACGUAGGGUGCAAGCGUUAAUCGGAAUUACUGGGCGUAAAGCGUGCGCAGGCGGUCCGCUAAGACAGAUGUGAAAUCCCCGGGCUUAACCUGGGAACUGCAUUUGUGACUGGCGGGCUAGAGUAUGGCAGAGGGGGGUAGAAUUCCACGUGUAGCAGUGAAAUGCGUAGAGAUGUGGAGGAAUACCGAUGGCGAAGGCAGCCCCCUGGGCCAAUACUGACGCUCAUGCACGAAAGCGUGGGGAGCAAACAGGAUUAGAUACCCUGGUAGUCCACGCCCUAAACGAUGUCAACUAGUUGUCGGGUCUUCAUUGACUUGGUAACGUAGCUAACGCGUGAAGUGACCGCCUGGA